rnacentral:rRNA from 1 species
CCCUAUUAUUAAGAGGGAGGAAUGGGACUAAGGGAGUAAGUUUUUUACUGAAAACCAUCUAGGGUGGCGGUUUUUUUUACUAUCAGAUAGAUGUGUUUUUAAAACGAAAGUACACGACCAUCUUUCUUAUCUUUGAAUCAACAUCCUGUACACCGCCGUCUGAAGGGUCAAGUUAAAAAAUUAACCCUCUUUCCUUACUAGGAAAUAAGUCAGGUUAGGUGCAGACUAUGGAUAAGAAGAAAUGCAUUUCAUUAAAAAACAAGAAAACUGUUGGAAACCUUUUUUAAGAAGAAUUGACAGUAAGCUUUUCUUAUCAUGAAGGGCUGAAAUAAUUUCAAAAAAAUGUACACAUCGCCCG